AGAGUUUGAUUAUGGCUCAGGAUGAACGCUGGCGGCGUGCUUAACACAUGCAAGUCGAACGAAGUUUUUUGAGAGCUUGCUCUUAAAAAACUUAGUGGCGGACGGGUGAGUAACGCGUGGGUAACCUGCCUUAUACUGUGGAAUAAUCACUGGAAACGGUGACUAAUACCGCAUGUCGUCUUUUGAGGGCAUCCUCGAAAGAAAAAAGGAUUUAUUCGGUAUAAGAUGGACCCGCGUCUGAUUAGCUAGUUGGUGAGAUAACAGCCCACCAAGGCAACGAUCAGUAGCCGACCUGAGAGGGUGAUCGGCCACAUUGGGACUGAGACACGGCCCAA
rnacentral:rRNA from 1 species